rnacentral:rRNA from 1 species
ACUCCCAACCCCUGUGACAUACCACUUGUUGCCUCGGCGGAUCAGCCCGCUCCCGGUAAAACGGGACGGCCCGCCAGAGGACCCCUAAACUCUGUUUCUAUAUGUAACUUCUGAGUAAAACCAUAAAUAAAUCAAAACUUUCAACAACGGAUCUCUUGGUUCUGGCAUCGAUGAAGAACGCAGCAAAAUGCGAUAAGUAAUGUGAAUUGCAGAAUUCAGUGAAUCAUCGAAUCUUUGAACGCACAUUGCGCCCGCCAGUAUUCUGGCGGGCAUGCCUGUUCGAGCGUCAUUUCAACCCUCAAGCACAGCUUGGUGUUGGGACUCGCGUUAAUUCGCGUUCCCCAAAUUGAUUGGCGGUCACGUCGAGCUUCCAUAGCGUAGUAGUAAAACCCUCGUUACUGGUAAUCGUCGCGGCCACGCCGUUAAACCCCAACUUCUGAAUGUUGACCUCGGAUCAGGUAGGAAUACCCGCUGAACUUAAGCAUAUCAAUAAGCGGGGUAAA